CGAUUCGUUAGGGCUUGCCAC
rnacentral:miRNA from 10 species